rfam:Oryzias latipes DNA, chromosome23, strain: Hd-rR.
AAGAAGCUGGUUUCACGUGGUGGUUUAGAUGUGUCUUUCUGUUGUCUAGCACCAUUUGAAAUCAGUGUUCU